rnacentral:rRNA from 1 species
UUUUGGACAAUGGGGGCAACCCUGAUCCAGCCAUGCCGCGUGAGUGAAGAGGGCCUUCGGGUUGUAAAGCUCUUUCGGACGGAACGAAACGGUUAGCGUGAAUAGCGCUGACUAAUGACGGUACCGUAAGAAGAAGCACCGGCUGACUACGUGCCAGCAGCCGCGGUAAUACGUAGGGUGCGAGCGUUGUCCGGAAUUAUUGGGCGUAAAGGGCUCGUAGGCGGUUCGACAAGUCGGGUGUGAAACCUCCAGGCUCAACCUGGGGUCGCCGCUCGAAACUGUUGUGACUAGAGUCCGGUAGAGGAGCAUGGAAUUUGUGGUGUAGCGGUGGAAUGCGCAGAUAUCACAAGGAACACCAGUAGCGAAGGCGAUGCUCUGGGCCGGUACUGACGCUGAGGAGCGAAAGCAUGGGGAGCGAAC